rnacentral:rRNA from 1 species
UACGUAGGGUGCAAGCGUUGUCCGGAAUUAUUGGGCGUAAAGAGCUUGUAGGCGGUUUGUCGCGUCUGCUGUGAAAUUUCGGGGCUCAACCCCGAACUUGCAGUGGGUACGGGCAGACUAGAGUGUGGUAGGGGAGACUGGAAUUCCUGGUGUAGCGGUGAAAUGCGCAGAUAUCAGGAGGAACACCAAUAGCGAAGGCAGCUCGCUGGGACGGUACUGACGCUAAGACGCGAAAGCGUGGGGAGCGAACAGG